rnacentral:rRNA from 1 species
UGGGGAAUUUUGGACAAUGGGCGCAAGCCUGAUCCAGCAAUGCCGCGUGUGUGAAGAAGGCCUUCGGGUUGUAAAGCACUUUUGUCAGGAACGAAACAGUGUCCGCUAAUACCGGGCGCGAAUGACGGUACCUGAAGAAUAAGCACCGGCUAACUACGUGCCAGCAGCCGCGGUAAUACGUAGGGUGCGAGCGUUAAUCGGAAUUACUGGGCGUAAAGCGUGCGCAGGCGGCUUUGUAAGACGGAUGUGA